GGCUCAGAACGAACGCUGGCGGCGCGUCUUAAGCAUGCAAGGUCGAACGGCAAGAGGUAGCAAUACCUCCUAGAGUGGCGGACUGGUGAGUAACACGUGGGUGACAUACCCUUCAGAUGGGGAUAGCUAUUAGAAAUAGUAGAUAAUACCGAAUACGAGCACAGGGGUUAGAGAUCUGUGAGGAAAGGAGCUAAGGCUCCGCUGAAGGAAUGGCCUGCGGCCCAUUAGCUAGUUGGUGAGGUAAGAGCCCACCAAGGCGAUGAUGGGUAUCCGGCCUUAGAGGGUGAACGGACACAUUGGGACUGAGAUACGGCCCAGACUCCUACGGGAGGCAGCAGCUAAGAAUAUUCCGCAAUGGACGAAAGUCUGACGGAGCGACGCCGCGUGGAUGAAGAAGGCCGGAAGGUUGUAAAAUCCUUUUGAAACUGAAGAAUAAGCGUUGUAGGGAAUGACAGCGUGGUGACAGUAGGUUUUGAAUAAGCAACGGCUAAUUACGUGCCAGCCGCCGC
rnacentral:rRNA from 1 species